CUGGGCGGUUCGCGGCCCGUGACGUCGCGAGAAGUCCACUGAACCUUAUCAUUUAGAGGAAGGAGAAGUCGUAACAAGGUUUCCGUAGGUGAACCUGCGGAAGGAUCAU
rnacentral:rRNA from 1 species